CCUGGAUCCCUCUAGGGGGUGUCACAGCCAGAUCCACCUGCUUUUCACCCUACCCUCGGUGGGGUCAUGAGCUGGGAUAACAUGGCUCUGGCCUCUCCUCAAAGAAGUUUGAGCUGUUGACCAAUUUUGCCAGUGAUGAAUUCUCUCAGACCAGGAAAGGCACAGUGCAUUUCCAUGUAAAGUUUCUUCACUGGAUGACCUUCUAUUCCCAAACGAGGAAACUGAGGAUUAGCAAGAUUAAGUGACUUUGUUCAGGGUCCCAUAAAUAAACCACCUGUUGACAACUUGCUUCUCUAAGGACAGGCAAUGGGCAUUUGGAUACCCAACCAAUGAACUUCUCUGAAAAAAAGUUUUUUAAAGGAUUUGCAAUGUCAGCUUCACCAUGUUUGUUGAGACCGGGAAUGUUUGAGGUGGAAGGAACCUCAGAGGUCUAACACAACUCCCUCAUUUUACAGGCAAGGAAACCACUCCAGGAAUGAGAUGUCUCCAACUUCUGCCUGUUUACAAGAAAGGCUGAGUCAGCCAGCACAGAUCAGCACUGUGGCCUCACAGGUUGGCCUCGUCUGUUACACAGGAACUUCAUCCUGCACUUCCCACCCAGAAAUGACUGAACAUGGUCUCCUCCUUGGCUGAGUUUGCCCGUAACUUCAGAGCAAAAACAACCUGUUUCAAGAUCUUCUUUGGUCAGAGGUUUGACAUUUCUAAGGAUGAUUCAUGCCUCCAGCCCUGCUUUUGAUCUGACAUGGCAUAGCCAAGCAAAUGGCCAGUUGUUUUCAUACAAACAGCAGAGAAUGAAUUUUACUUUUGGCAACCUGGACAUGCCUUCUCAUGAUAGAGAAUGGAGAUAAGCUAUCAUCACCAAAGACACUUAGUGUUAGACCGUAAGGCUGAUGGGUUAGAAUUUAGUGAAAAUCUGAGGUGUUGAAGAGUCACUCAUUAGAAUAACCCUGUUACUAACAGUCAAGCUGUAAACCGAGCUCUUUAUAGAUUGAACAAUCAAUACUACAAGGCUGUGAUAGAUUUUCUAGGUAACAGAAUAAAAUAAAAGAAAUUACAUCUUACAGGGUCAUUAACACCCAACCAGGAUAAACUGAAUUCUUUUUUUCUCUCUCUUCUGAUAAGAUCCUAGUUAGGCUUUAAAAAUGUUAGCAAUUCCAUCAGGGAAAAAGCACAGCAUUCCAGGGAAAGGAUCCCUGAAAUAGUGAAGAAAAGCAUGUGGAUUUUAAAGGUAAUCCUGGUAGCCAUAGUAUCAUUUACGAGAAAAUACUUUUCCCCCUCAAAGGGCAUGUGACACCUGACUUGCCCAAGUGAACCAAACUUGUGUAGCUUGCCUAUUAUAGAAGAAUUUACACUGUCCUGGAGCCCUUGCCUUUUAUAUGUCUACCCUUCCCUCAAAGCUCUAUAUUUUAUUGUUUUAAAGCUAAGUGAUGACACCUGGAUGUUACAUAUUUGUAGCCGUUGCUAUAGCUCCUUUGUAGGAAAGGCAUCAUAUAAAUUCAAUAAAUAAAUAAGUAAAUACAAUAAUAAUAAAAAUUCUUGCCUCAGAUUCUGCAGAGAGAGGGGAAAGUCCUCCUUUGCUUUUUAAUCCCUAAGUCACCAAUCAUUAUAACUGGUGGGAAGUGUAAACCAUAGAAAUGUAUUUAGAGCUCACUGCUCU